rnacentral:rRNA from 1 species
UACGUAGGUGGCAAGCGUUAUCCGGAUUUAUUGGGCGUAAAGCGAGCGCAGGUGGUUUAUUAAGUCUGGUGUAAAAGGCAGUGGCUCAACCAUUGUAUGCAUUGGAAACUGGUAGACUUGAGUGCAGGAGAGGAGAGUGGAAUUCCAUGUGUAGCGGUGAAAUGCGUAGAUAUAUGGAGGAACACCGGUGGCGAAAGCGGCUCUCUGGCCUGUAACUGACACUGAGGCUCGAAAGCGUGGGGAGCAAAUAGG